rnacentral:rRNA from 1 species
CCUACGGGUGGCUGCAGUGGGGAAUAUUGGACAAUGGGGGCAACCCUGAUCUAGCCAUGCCGCGUGUGUGAAGAAGGCCCUCGGGUUGUAAAGCACUUUCAGUGAGGAAGAACGCCUGGUGGUUAAUACCCAUCAGGAAAGACAUCACUCACAGAAGAAGCACCGGCUAACUCCGUGCCAGCAGCCGCGGUAAUACGGAGGGUGCGAGCGUUAAUCGGAAUUACUGGGCGUAAAGCGCGCGUAGGUGGCUUGAUAAGCCGGUUGUGAAAGCCCCGGGCUCAACCUGGGAACGGCAUCCGGAACUGUCAAGCUAGAGUGCAGGAGAGGAAGGUAGAAUUCCCGGUGUAGCGGUGAAAUGCGUAGAGAUCGGGAGGAAUACCAGUGGCGAAGGCGGCCUUCUGGACUGACACUGACACUGAGGAGCGAAAGCGUGGGUAGCAAACAGGAUUAGAUACCCCGGUAGUC